UACGUAGGGGGCAAGCGUUGUCCGGAAUUAUUGGGCGUAAAGAGCGCGUAGGCGGUCCGAUAAGUCGGCUGUGAAAGUCCAGGGCUCAACCCUGGAAAGCCGGCCGAUACUGUCGGACUAGAGUCCGGAAGAGGCAAGUGGAAUUCCCGGUGUAGCGGUGAAAUGCGCAGAUAUCGGGAGGAACACCUGUGGCGAAAGCGGCGCACUGGACCACAACUGACGCUGAGGCGCGAAAGCUAGGGGAGCAAACAGG
rnacentral:rRNA from 1 species